GUAGAAAAGUAAACGCAUAACAAUACGCACAUUAAAAUUCAGUUCAAGAGAAGUCCGAGUCUGAUGUCAGAAGAUGUAACAAAGAAAAUAAACAAAAUGACAAUAAUACAUAAAUAACAACAGACUACUAUCAGUUAACUGACAUGCCAGCUCCAGACUUCAAUUAAAGUGACUGAAAGAUUAUGAUUUCAUCAUAUGAACAUCAGGCA
rnacentral:lncRNA from 1 species